rnacentral:rRNA from 1 species
UACGGAGGGUGCAAGCGUUAUCCGGAAUGAUUGGGCGUAAAGCGUCCGCAGGUGGCUAUGUAAGUCUGCUGUUAAAGAGUGAGGCUCAACCUCAUAAAAGCAGUGGAAACUACAUGGCUAGAGUGCGUUCGGGGCAGAGGGAAUUCCUGGUGUAGCGGUGAAAUGCGUAGAGAUCAGGAAGAACACCGGUGGCGAAAGCGCUCUGCUAGGCCGCAACUGACACUGAGGGACGAAAGCUAGGGGAGCGAAUGGG